GACGAACGCUGGCGGCGUGCUUAAUACAUGCAAGUCAACUGAACUUAGGAUAGCAAUAUUUUAAGGGAGGUGGCGCACGGGUGAGUAACACGUAGGUAAUCUGCCUUUAGGUCUGACAUAACCUACCGAAAGGUAGGCUAAAAUCAGAUGAUGCAGCGGCUCGACAUCGAGACAGUUGUUAAAUCUUCGGAGCCUAAAGAUGAGCCUGCGUCUGAUUAGGUAGUUGGCGGUGUAAUGGACCACCAAGCCUGCGAUCAGUAGCUGGUCUGAGAGGAUGAUCAGCCACACUGGAACUGAGACACGGUCCAGACUCCUACGGGAGGCAGCAGUAAGGAAUAUUGCUCAAUGGCCGAAAGGCUGAAGCAGCAACGCCGCGUGGAGGAUGAAAUACUUUGUAUGUAAACUCCUGUAAGAAGGGAAAAAUAGUCCUGAUUUAUCAGGAUUGAUUGUACCUUCAGAGUAAGCCCGGCUAACUACGU
rnacentral:rRNA from 1 species